GCUUUAUAAAUUGAUGAAGGAAGGAAGGAAGGAAGGAAGGAAGGAAGGAAGGAAGGAAGGAAGGAAUCAAUACUAGUUUGACAGUGGAACCAAUGAAAUGAAAGUGGGGCUCUCAUCUGCUUGAUGUGUUCAUGCAGAGAGCCAUCUGUCAGAUAUGGUUUAAUUUGGAUUCCAGCACCAGGCAAGGAUUUGGACUUAAUAGCCUUAAUGUGUUUUUUUUUAAACUCUGUAAUUCUAAGUUCCAAAUUCAUCACUGUCAGUCAAUAUUUUUAUAUAUCUUAUUCUAACUAUUACUUGGAACUAAAUUGCAUUGAUUUCAAUAUGAUUUUGUUAUAAUACGAUAAUGUCAAGUUUGGAUUGGCCUCAUGUUUCCUAAUCCCUUUUAUAUUAUGCACAAAGAUAGAUAAAAUACAUAUCAAUAAGCUUUCUUUACUUUAUAUCAUAAUUUGUAUGUGAUUUAUUUUUAAGAGAUCAAAUCAUUAACAUUUGUAAUAUAUGCUCUUGCUUAUAAGAAUAUUAUCAAGUUACUGAAUGUAAACUUUGCAAGUGAUACAGGAAUUAUUUCUUGAUUUUUAAAAAU